AUGCCGACUUGGUCUAUUUAGAAUAGAAAUUUCCUUUUUCUGGAUUUCUAGAUAUUUUUAAAUCUUUAAAAUUGUUAAAAGCCCUAUAUUCUCCACUGCCUCUCAGCUCCUAUAAAUACCUUGAUAGGGGUUUUCGUCCCAACUCAUAUUAAUCUAUAGCGUUUUAAACUGUUACAAUAGUUUUAUAUGAGUUUUAAUGGUUUUUAUUUAUGAUUGUAGGUGGAUGCAUGUAAGCUACGUUAUGAACCGAUCGAUGCAUGAAAAUUUGGAUCCUAUUUCGACCGAUAAAUUGGUGGAUGCAUGGAAGCUACGUUGUGAACCGAUCGAUGCAUGAAAAUUUGGAUCCUAUUUCGGCCGAUAAAUUGAUUUAAUUGGCGACGUGAAACGAUGCAUAAUAAUUUGGAAUAGGUCAACAAGUGAGUUUCUAUCUUUUAUUUACCAUUUUCUUUUUGCUAUGAAUAUGUGAUUUACGUUAGGAUUUCAAUGUUUUCCUCUAAUUACUGAGGAUAUGUAAUCAAUUCGAUCGAGUACAUCUUUCUAAACAGGUAAAGCAUACAUCGAUUAUUAUUUUUUAAUAGUUUUGGGGUAUUAUUUUGUGUUAUUUGUUUAAUAUAAUAGUGUCGUAAAUUUGUUUUUUUGUAUUUAGGUUUCUCUUAAUUAAUCAAGAGAUGAAUUCAUCAGAGAAUUAUGGAUAUUUGUAUCUCAGAUAUUUACUUUUUUUAAUACAAAAAAGGUUAAACGAUUUUUGG